rnacentral:rRNA from 1 species
AUUGAACGCUGGCGGCAGGCCUAACACAUGCAAGUCGAGCGAGCGGAGGACGGGUGCGUAAUGUAUGGGGACUGCCCGAUAGAGGGGGAUAACUACUGGAAACGGUAGCUAAUACCGCAUACUAUCGGAUAACCCAUAUGGGAUUAGCUAGUAGGGGAGGUAAUGGCUCACCUCGGCGACGAUCCCUAGCUGGUAUUAGAGGAUGAUCAGCCACACUGGGACUGAGAAACGGCCAAGACUCCUACGGAGGCAGCAGUGGUGAAUAUUGCACAAUGGGCGCAAGCCUGAGGCAGCCAGGCCGCGUGUAUGAAGAAGGCCCUAGGGUUGUAAAGUACUUUCAGCGGGGAGGCGUUACCCGCAGAAGAAGCACCGGCGAACUCCGUGCCAGCCGCCGCGGUAAUUC